rnacentral:rRNA from 1 species
GACGAACGCUGGCGGCAUGCCUAACACAUGCAAGUCGAACGAAACCUUCGGGUCUAGUUGCGCACGGGUGCGUAACACGGGGGAACCUGCACGUGGGUUCGGAAUAACUCCCCGAGAGGGGUGCUAAUACCGGAUAGUCUCUUCGGACAAAAGAGUUAUUGCCUUUGGAUGGGCCCGCGUUGGAUUCGGGAGUUGGUAGGGUAAAAGCAUACCAAGGCGACGAUCCAGAGCUGGUCUGAGAGGAUGAUCAGCUACACUGGGACUGAGACACGGCCCAGACUCCUACGGGAGGGAGCAGUGGGGAAUAUUGGACAAUGGGCGAAAGCCUGAUACAGCAAUGCGGCGGGAGUGAUGAAGGCCUUAGGGUUGUAAAGCUCUUUUAGCCGGGAUGAUAAUGACAGUACCGGGAGAAUAAGCUCCGGCUAACUCCGUG